rnacentral:rRNA from 1 species
CAAUAGCGUAUAUUAAAGUUGUUGCAGUUAAAAAGCUCGUAGUUGGAUUUCUGGUGGGAGCGAUCGGUCUGGCGCUUAGCGCGAGUACUUGCAUCGUCUCCGGCCAUCCUUGGGGAGAGUCUGUCUGGCAUUAAGUUGUCGGGCAGAGGAUCCUCAUCGUUUACUGUGAAAAAAUUAGAGUGUUCAAAGCAGGCUUAUGCCGUUGAAUAUAUUAGCAUGGAAUAAUAAGAUAGGACUUUGGUACUAUUUUGUUGGUUUGCGCACCAAAGUAAUGAUUAAUAGGGACAGUUGGGGGUAUUCGUAUUCCGUUGUCAGAGGAGAAAUUCUUGGAUUUACGGAAGACGAACUACUGCGAAAGCAUUUACCAAGGAUGUUUUCAUUAA